rnacentral:snRNA from 1 species
GGAUGUGAGGGUGAUCUGACGGUGACAUCUGUCACCCCAUUGAUCCCUAAUAUCAAUUUGGCUGAUCUGCCUGACUAGGCUGGUGUCCCCUCCUCCAUCACUGCCCCUUAUGCAUCCCUCUGGAAGCUGCACACUCGGUCAGUAGAAGAAGACGACCUUCCCCAAUAUAGGAGAAUUGUUCUUCAUGCAAGGGUAUAGGAGUAGCUGUGUUGCCCUGCUAGAACCUCCAAAUAAGCUCUCAAGGUCCAUGUGUAGAGAACUUAGGGUAGUCAACAUUCCAAGAGUCCACACAUAUCCAAAUAAGGCUCUGCAGGUGGCAGUCCACCUUUCUUU